UGACAGCAGUUUCCAGAAUUACUACACUGCUUUGAUGAAGUACCUUUGAACCCCUUUCUGACAGCAGACCCCAACCACUC
rfam:Tupaia chinensis contig43805, whole genome shotgun sequence.